UUUGGGACUGAUGCAACAGCACUGCCAUCUUUAGUAUGCAUGUGUUUUACACGUAUUGUAGCUAUGUUAAAUCACAUUCAGACACAUCAAAUGUUUACUGGUGUAUUUGGUGAUACUGUACAACAAUCCUAUAGGACUUCUAGCUAAACUGUCCAGUUAAAGCAUACAUCUAUCUCUGUGUUGUAGUCACAGAUCCAUCCCCUUUUUAUGUUGCACUGAGCAGGAGUUAACUGUCACUGUCUCAUAACGUAGCCAGAGACACCAGACCCACAUUCUCCUUUAGUAAGCCACCACACACAGGCAGUAGUUUGGAGUGAGAGCAGAGAGGCGCGAGAAAGACUGCAAGGCUGGCCGAGGAGCAACCAGGGAGAAAAGAGUCAUUUACACAUCUCUCUCAAGGAGUGAUCAGUAAUACUUUGAGAGGAUGGCAGAAGGGGGAGAUGGAGAGGAGGAGAUUCAGUUCUUGCGUACGGAUGACCAGGUUGUGCUACAAUGCACAGCCUCCAUUCUGAAAGAACAGAUCAAACUGUGUCUGUCAUGCGAAGGCUUUGGGAACCGCCUCUGCUUCCUGGAGACCACCUCUAACGCUCAGAAUGUGCCACCUGAUUUGGCGAUCUGCUGCUUCAUCCUGGAGCAGUCCCUGUCGGUACGAGCCUUACAGGAGAUGCUGGCCAACACCACGGAACUCAAUGAGGCAGUCGAUUUGGACAAAUGGUCAUCUCAAGGAGGGGGCCACCGUACCCUGCUGUAUGGCCACGCUAUCCUUCUGAAACACACUCACUCCAGCAUGUACCUCAGCUGUUUGACUACCUCAAGGUCACUCACAGACAAACUGGCCUUUGAUGUGGGCUUACAGGAAGAUUCCACAGGCGAGGCGUGCUGGUGGACUAUUCAUCCUGCGUCCAAGCAGAGAUCAGAGGGAGAGAAGGUCAGGGUGGGAGAUGACCUCAUCCUGGUCAGCGUGUCCUCUGAGAGAUACCUGCAUCUCUCCUAUGCCAGUGGUGAACUCAUGGUGGACGCCUCCUUCAUGCAGACUCUGUGGACCAUGAACCCUGUGAUGUCUGGCUGUGAACUUGCGGAAGGCUUUCUGACUGGAGGCUAUGUUCUGAGACUGUUCCAUGGUCACAUGGAUGAGUGCUUGGCUAUCCCUGCUGCCGAGCAAGGAGACAACCAGCGCAGAAUUGCUCACUAUGAAGGGGGUGCUGUCUGUAGCCAUGCCCGGUCACUAUGGAGACUAGAACCCCUCCGGAUUGGAUGGAGUGGAGGUCACAUGAAAUGGGGCCAGUCUUUUCGAGUGCGUCAUAUAACCACAGGUCGCUACCUCUGCUUGGAUGAAGAGAAAGGACUGAUGGUGGUGGACCCUGAAAAAGCCAACGCCAAGAUGUCAGCCUUCUGCUUCAGAAUCUCCAAGGAAAAGGUGGAGGUGGUUAAGAAGCGAGAUGUGGAGGGCAUGGGCAUGCCAGAGAUCAAGUAUGGGGAGUCCAUGUGUUUUGUACAGCACGUCUCCACUGGCCUCUGGCUUACAUACGCCUCUGUCGAUGCCAAGUCUGCUCGCCUGGGACCUCUUAAGAGGAAGGCCAUCCUUCAUAAGGAGGGCCACAUGGACGAUGCCCUGACCGUGGCCCGCUCCCAGACAGAGGAGUUCCAGGCUGCUCGUAUGAUCUACAACACAGCAGGCCUCUUCACCCAGUUCAUCAAUGCGCUGGACUCUCUGAGUGGGAAGAACAGGUCAUCUUCAGGCUCACCGUCUCUGCCCAUGGACUCUGUGGUCCUCUCCCUGCAGGACCUCAUCUUCUACUUCCAGCCCCCAGAGGAGCUGGAGCACGAGGAGAAACAGACCAGACUACGCUCCCUUAAGAACAGACAGAACCUCUUCCAAGAGGAGGGCAUGAUCACCCUGGUGCUGGACUGUAUCGACCGACUCAAUGUCUACAACACAGCGGCCCACUUCUCCGAGUUUGCAGGGGAGGAGGCUGCCGAGUCUUGGAAGGAGAUAGUUAAUCUCCUCUACGAGCUGCUGGCCUCACUGAUCAGGGGGAACCGGGCGAACUGUGCACUGUUCUGUGAUAAUCUGGACUGGCUGGUCAGCAAACUGGACCGUCUGGAGGCCUCCUCAGGCAUCCUGGAGGUGCUAUACUGUGUUCUGAUUGAGAGUCCAGAGGUUUUGAACAUUAUCCAGGAGAACCACAUUAAAUCUAUCAUUUCUCUACUGGAUAAGCAUGGACGCAAUCACAAGGUGUUGGAUGUGCUCUGCUCUUUGUGUGUGUGUAAUGGGGUGGCUGUAAGGUCCAAUCAGAAUCUCAUCACAGAGAAUCUGCUUCCGGGUCGCGAUCUCCUCCUGCAGUCCAACAUCAUCAAUUAUGUCACCAGUGUGAGGCCCAACAUCUUCCUAGGAACGUGUGGAGGAUCAACUCAGUAUAAGAAGUGGUAUUUUGAGGUGAUGGUGGACCAUGUAGAGCCCUUCUUGACCGCCCAGGCCUUCCACCUGCGUGUGGGCUGGGCUCUGACUGAUGGCUACAGCCCCUACCCUGGAGGUGGUGAGGGCUGGGGUGGUAACGGGGUGGGGGACGACCUCUACUCAUACGCCUUUGAUGGACUCCACCUGUGGUCAGGACGAGUCCCACGUCAUGUCGCCACCCCCAACAUGCACAUCUUAGCCGCAGACGAUGUGGUCAGCUGCUGCCUGGAUCUGAGCGUGCCCAGUAUUUCGUUCCGUAUCAACGGGCACCCGGUGCAGGGCAUGUUUGAGAACUUCAACCUGGAUGGCUUAUUCUUCCCUGUCGUCAGCUUCUCUGCAGGCGUCAAGGUUCGUUUUCUCCUGGGAGGGCGUCAUGGAGACUUUAAAUUCCUCCCACCACCAGGCUAUGCUCCGUGCUAUGAGGCUGUGCUACCCAAGGAUCGACUGCAUAUUGAGCCCAUCAAGGAGUAUAAGCAUGAUGUCAAUGGUGUCCGCAAUCUGUUGGGGCCUACACAGUCCCUCUCGCACACCGCCUUCACCCCCUGCCCUGUGGACACAGCACAGAUUGUGCUUCCGCCUCUCUUGGAGCGCAUUCGGGAGAAGCUGGCAGAAAACAGCCAUGAGCUAUGGGCUGUCACUCGCAUUGAACAAGGAUGUACCUAUGGGUCGUUCCGAGAUGACAACCAGAAACUGCACCCCUGCCUGGUAGAUUUCCAGAGCCUGCCAGAGCCAGAGAGGAAUUACAACCUUGCCAUGUCAGUAGAAACACUCAAGACUCUACUGGCGCUGGGCUGCCAUGUGGGCAUGGGAGAUGAGAAAGCAGAGGAGAACCUGAAGAACAUCAAGAUGCCCAAGACGUAUAUGAUGAGUAGUGGGUAUAAGCCUGCCCCUCUGGACCUCAACCAUGUCAAGCUGACACCCAACCAGACCAACCUAGUGGAGAGACUGGCAGAGAAUGGGCACAACGUGUGGGCUCGUGACAGGGUUCACCAGGGGUGGACCUACAGCAUUGUACAGGACAUAAUGAACAAGCGCAACCCACGCCUGGUGCCAUACAACCUGCUGGAUGAAAAGACCAAGAAGACCAACAGAGACACUGUCUGUGCAGCUGUCCGCACUCUCAUUGGCUACGGUUACAACAUUGAGCCACCUGACCAGGAGAGCAGUGGUCAUGGGGAAGGUCAUUCUCGUGGAGAUAAGAUCCGGGUGUUCCGGGCUGAGAGGUCAUACGCGGUGACCCAGGGGAAGUGGUACUUUGAGUUUGAGGCUGUGACUGUGGGGGAGAUGAGAGUGGGUUGGGCCAGACCCAGUGUCCGCGCUGACACAGAGCUGGGAGCAGAUGAGCUCGCCUAUGUCUUCAAUGGUUUCAAGGCUCAGCGUUGGCAUGUGGGCAAUGAGCCGUUUGGUCGUAUCUGGUUGCCAGGUGAUGUGGUGGGCUGUAUGAUUGACCUGGUAGAGCAGAACAUCUUCUUCACUCUGAACGGAAAGAUGCUGAUCAGUGACUCUGGAUCUGAGAUGGCCUUCAAGGACAUUGACAUAGGAGAUGGUUUUAUCCCUGUGUGUAGUCUGGGCCUGUCUCAGGUUGGCCGGCUCAACCUGGGCCAGAACGUCAGCAGCCUGCGCUACUUCACCAUCUGUGGCCUUCAGGAGGGCUUUGAACCCUUCGCCAUCAACAUGAAGAGAGACAUCACCAUGUGGUUCAGCAAGAGCCUGCCCCAAUUCAUCCCUAUUCCUACAGAACAUCCUCACGUUGAUGUGUCCCGUGUGGAUGGGACGGUGGACAACGCUCCCUGUCUGAAACUGACCCACAAGACCUUCGGCUCUCAGAAUGCCAACACCGAUCUGUUGUUCCUGAGGCUCAGUAUGCCCGUGGAGUUCCACGAGACCUUUAAAAUCAUGGCUGGGACCACCCCCCUGACACGAACCCUGACCAUCCCCGAGGACCAGGUCCUGGAGGUGGACCCAGACUCUGACUUUGAGGUGCUGAAGAAGUCUGCCAGCCGCACAGAGAAGGAGGAGGAGAAGGAGCCCUCUGUGCCUAAGGAGAUCUCCGUCAACGGAGGAGAGAAUGUGAAAGAUGCCUCUACAGAGAAGAGCAAGAAGAAGGGGUUCCUGUUCAAGGCCAAGAAGGCAGCUUUUACUCCGCCCCCUGUUGUUCCCACCAUGCCCCGUCUGACGGAGGAAGUGGUCCCAGAUGACAGAGAUGACGAUGACAUCAUCCUCAACACCACCACAUACUAUUAUUCAGUGCGAGUGAUUGCGGGACAAGAGCCCAGUGGGGUGUGGGUAGGCUGGAUCACCCCUGACUACCACCAAUACGACCUGCACUUUGACCUCAGCAAAGUAAGAAAUGUCACAGUCACCGUGGGAGAUGACAAAGGCAACAUACAUGACAGUAUGAAGCGCAGUAACUGCUACAUGGUGUGGGGAGGGGAGUUCAGCAGCUCCCAGCAGACCCGUGUCAGUCAGGAGGACUUUGUGAUUGGCUGCCUUAUUGACCUUGACACAGGACUCAUGACUUUCACAGCCAAUGGGAAAGAGAUCAACACCUUCUACCAGGUGGAGCCCAACACUAAAUUGUUCCCAGCUGUCUUUGUCCUGCCCUCCAGUCAGAACAUGCUGCAAGUGGACCUGGGGAAGCUCAAGAACAUCAUGCCUAUUUCAGCAGCCAUGUUCCGCAGUGAGCGUAAGAACCCGGUCCCUCAGUGUCCUCCCAGGCUGGAUGUCCAGAUGCUGACCCCAGUCAUUUGGAGCCGCAUGCCAAACCACUUCCUGUCCCCAGAGAUGGGCCGUGUGAACGACAGGCACGGCUGGAUGGUGGAGUGCAGAGAGCCUAUCACAAUGAUGGCCCUGCACAUCCCCGAGGAGAACAGAUGUAUUGACAUCCUGGAGUUGUCGGAGCGUAUGGACCUGCUGAAGUUCCACUACCACACUCUGAAACUGUACGGCUCAGUCUGUGCUCUGGGGAACAACCGCGUGGCUCACGCCCUGUGCAGCCAUGUUGACGAAUCCCAGCUAUUCUACGCCAUAGAGAACACCUACCUGCCUGGACCAAUGAGGAGCGGCUACUACGAUCUGCUCAUCAGCAUUCACCUGGAGUCGGCCAAGCGGAACCGCCUCAUGACCAAUAAGGAGUUCAUUGUGCCCAUGACUGAAGAGACGCUCAGCAUCAACCUCAACUCAGACACUGACAAAUCUCAUGCUUUACCAGGGGUGGGCCUCACCACCUGUCUGCGCCCCAAACUCCACUUCUCCCCCACUGGGUUUGUAGGGACAGACCUGGAUAUCUACACCCUCAGCCCCUUCAUCCCCCUACAUGUGCUGAAGGCGAAGGCCCUGACCAUGCUGACAGAAGCUGUCCAGGAUGGUGGUCAAGCCAUGCGGGAUCCUGUAGGAGGCAGUGUUGAGUUCCACUUUGUCCCCAUCCUCAAGCUCAUCAGCACCCUGCUCAUCAUGGGUGUGUUUGAUAAUGAAGAUGUCAAGCACAUCCUGAAGAUGAUAGAGCCCACAGUGUUCAGUGGAGAGGCAGAGGCUGCUGCCCAGGGAGAGGUGGACCAAACACCGGCCCUCAAAGAACGGGGGUUGGAGAUGAAGGAAGAAGAGGAGGGAGCAGUAGAGAGCAGACAUGAAACAGAAAUGGAGGAUGAGGGGAUGGGUGAGGAAGAUGAGGAAAUGGAGGCAGAGCUAGAGGAGUUGGAGCCUAUAGAAAAAGAGGAAGACAAGGGGGAGGCUGACGGAGAGAAAGGUGCUGAGGAGACUGAGAAGGAGGUGAAUCCUGGAGAGGCAGAAGAACAAGUAGGUCUGGAAGAGGGAUUACUGCACAUGAAGCUUCCAGAGUCUGUCAAACUACAGAUGUGCACUCUGCUGCAGUAUUUCUGUGACUGUGAGUUGCGCCACAGGGUGGAGGCCAUCAUAGCCUUCUCAGACCAGUUUGUGAGCCAGGUGCAGGCCAACCAGAGAGCCCGCUACAACGAGCUCAUGCUGGCGUAUACCAUGAGCGCUGCUGAGACCGCUCGCAAGACCCGCGAGUUCCGCUCCCCACCACAGGAGCAGGUCAACAUGCUUAUGAACUUGAAGAACAUUGCAGAGGAUGAGGAUUGUCCUGUGCCUGACGAGGUCCGCGAUGCCCUGCAGGCUUUUCACAAGAACCUGCUGUUUCACUGCAGUGUACAUAUCGAAGAGGAAGAGGUAGAGGAGGAGUUGGAUAUGUCUCUCAAAGGGCGACUCCUCCGAAUGCUGGACAAGUUGAGGCACCUCCAUAAGAAGAAGCUAGAGGAGGAGAAACCUGAGGAGGAGAACAAACCCAGCACCCUCCAGGAGCUGAUCACCCACACCAUGGUCCACUGGGCCCAGGAGUCAUUCAUCCAGAACCCUGAGCUGGUGCGUCUGAUGUUCAGCCUGCUGCACUGUCAGUAUGACGGGCUGGGGGAGCUGAUCCGGGCCCUGCCCAAGGCCUACACCAUCAACGCCAUCUCCAUAAAGGAUACCAUGGACCUGCUGGAGUGCCUGGGACAGAUCCGCUCGCUGCUCAUCGUCCAGAUGGGCCCCGAGGAGGAGAGGCUCAUGAUCCAGAGCAUCGGGAACAUCAUGAGCAACAAAGUGUUUUAUCAGCACCCCAACCUAAUGCGAGCGCUGGGCAUGCACGAGACUGUCAUGGAGGUGAUGGUCAACGUGCUGGGUGGUGGUGACUCCAAGGAGAUCAGAUUCCCUCGUAUGGUCACCAACUGCUGUCGUUUCCUGUGCUACUUCUGUCGUAUCAGUCGUCAGAACCAACGCUCCAUGUUCGAUCACCUCAGCUACCUGCUUCAGAACAGCGGCAUCGGCCUUGGAAUGCGUGGCUCCACCCCUCUAGACGUAGCUGCAGCAUCCUGUAUUGAUAACAAUGAGCUGGCUCUGGCGCUACAGGAACAAGACCUGGAGAAGGUGGUGAAGUACCUUGCAGGCUGUGGGCUUCAGAGCUGUCCCCAGCUCCUGGCUAAGGGUUACCCUGACAUUGGCUGGAACCCUUGUGGGGGAGAGAAAUACCUGGACUUCCUCCGCUUCGCUGUCUUCGUCAACGGAGAGAGCGUAGAGGAGAAUGCCAAUGUGGUGGUGCGUCUUCUGAUCCGUCGGCCAGAGUGUUUUGGCCCGGCCCUGAGAGGAGAGGGUGGAAACGGCCUACUGGCUGCUAUAGAGGAGGCCAUCAAGAUCUCUGAAGAUCCUGCCAGGGACGGCCCCACUGUCAAGAAAGACAGGCGCUUCCCCGGCAUGUUUCCUGGUGGAGAGGGGCAGCAUGAGGAGAACAAGGUGCAUCUGGGGAAUGCCAUCAUGUCCUUCUACUCAGCUCUUAUUGACUUGCUGGGACGCUGUGCUCCAGAGAUGCAUUUGAUCCAGGCUGGGAAGGGUGAGGCUCUGAGGAUCAGGGCCAUCCUGAGGUCCCUGGUGCCCAUAGAGGACCUGGUGGGAGUCAUCAGCCUGUCUGUCCAAAUCCCAGACUUUGGAAAGGAUAACAGCAUCAUUGAACCCAAGAUGUCUUCCAGUUUUGUGCCGGACCACAAGGCUCCCAUGGUGCUGUUCCUUGACAGAGUGUAUGGUAUUGACAACCAGGACUUCCUGCUCCAUGUGCUGGAGGUGGGCUUCCUGCCUGACAUGAGGGCAGCUGCUUCUCUGGACACAGCAGCUUUCUGCACCACAGAGAUGGCCCUGGCUCUGAACCGCUACCUCUCUCUGGCCGUGCUGCCCCUCAUCAACAAGUGUGCCUUCCUGUUUGCCGGCACAGACCACCGGGCCAUCAUGAUCGACUCCAUGCUGCACACCAUCUACCGUCUGUCCCGCGGACGAGCCUUCACUAAGGCCCAGAGAGAUGUCAUUGAGGAAUGUCUCAUGGCUUUGUGCAAAAAUCUACGGCCAUCCAUGUUACAACACCUGUUGCGAAGGCUGGUAUUUGAUGUACCAAUUCUCAAUGAAUAUGCCAAAAUGCCACUUAAGCUUUUGAACACUCACUAUGAGCGUUGUUGGAAGUACUAUUGCCUGCCCAACGGCUGGGGCAACUUUGGAGUGUCAUCAGAGGAGGAGCUGCAUCUCACCCGCAAACUCUUCUGGGGCAUCUUUGAGUCCCUGGCCCACAAGAAAUUUGAUGCUGAGCUGUUCAAAAUUGCCAUGCCGUGCAUAUGUGCCAUUGCUGGGGCCAUCCCUCCAGAUUAUGUAGAUGCCAGCUACUCCUCCAAGACUGAGAAGAAAGCCUCAGUGGAUGCAGAGGGAAACUUUGAUCCCAAGCCAGUGGAGACCACAAAUACUAUCAUCCCUGAGAGAUUGGAUGGUUUCAUCAACAAAUAUGCUGAAUACACACAUAACAAGUGGGCUUUUGAAAAGAUUCAGAACAACUGGACGUAUGGAGAGAUGUUGGAUGAAGAUUCUAAAACUCACCCCAUGCUCCGACCGUACAAAACAUUCUCAGAGAAGGACAAAGAGAUCUACCGUUGGCCCAUCAAAGAGUCCAUGAAGGCUAUAAUUGCAUGGGAGUGGACUCUGGAUCAAAUGAGGGAAGGAGAGGAAGCCAAGACUGAGCAAAAGAAGGCGGCUCGGAAAAUCUCUCAGACUGCACAGGCAACGUACGACCCCAGCCAUGGCUACAGUCCCCAACCGAUUGAGAUCCCCCACAUGGCACUGUCAAGAGAGCUGCAGUCCAUGGCAGAACAGCUUGCAGAGAACUAUCACAAUACCUGGGGUCGCAAGAAGAAGAUGGAGCUGCAGUCCAAAGGAGGAGGCUCCCACCCUUUGCUUGUACCCUAUGACACCCUGACAGCAAAGGAAAAGGCACGAGACAGGGAAAAGGCUCAGGAGCUUCUUAAAUUCCUUCAACUCAAUGGAUUUGCAGUCACCAGGGGGAUGAAAGACAUGGAGUCAGACAUCUCAUCUAUCGAGAAGCGCUUUGCUUAUGGUUUCCUGCAGAAGCUGUUAAAGUGGAUGGAGAUGGCCCAGGAGUUCAUAGCUCACCUUGAGGCUGUGGUGAGCAGUGGCAGAGUGGAGAAGUCGCCUCAUGAGCAGGAGAUCAAAUUCUUUGCAAAGAUCCUGUUGCCCCUGAUCAAUCAGUACUUUAAAAACCACUCUCUGUACUUCCUGUCCACACCGGCCAAAGUCCUGGGUACUGGAGGACAUUCCUCUAACAAGGAGAAAGAGAUGAUUGCCAGCAUCUUCUGUAAAAUGGCUGCUCUGGUGAGACACAGAGUUUCUCUCUUUGGAAAUGACGCCCCUGCUAUUGUCAACUGUCUUCACAUCCUGGCACGAUCUCUCGACGCAAGGACGGUGAUGAAGUCUGGGCCUGAAAUCGUGAAGGCAGGGCUCAGGUCAUUCUUUGAGGGUGCGGCUGAUGAUAUAGAGAAGAUGGUGGAGAACCUCAAACUGGGAAAGGUGUCUAAAGGCAACCAGCAGGUGAAAGGCGUGUCCCAGAACAUCAACUACACCACCAUUGCUCUGCUCCCAGUCCUCACCUCCCUGUUCGACCACAUCUCUCAGCACCAGUUUGGAGAUGAUGUCAUUUUGGAUGAUCUCCAGAUGUCGUGUUACCGCAUCAUGUGCGCCAUCUACUCCCUGGGUACUGUCAAGAACCCUCAUGUGGAGAGGCACAUGCCAGCCCUAGGGGAGUGUCUGGCCCAUCUGGCAGCUGCUAUGCCAGUGGCCUACCUGGAGCCCCAUCUCAAUGAGUACAACUCCUUCUCUGUUUACACCACCAAGACCCCCAGAGAAAGAGCCAUCCUGGGUCUGCCCAAUGAGGUCCAGGAGUUAUGCCAGGACAUACCAGAGCUAGACGUUCUAUUGAAAGAGAUCGGGGACUUGGCAGAGUCAGGUGCCCGUUACACAGAGAUGCCCCAUGUGAUAGAGAUAACUCUGCCCAUGCUGUGUAACUACCUGCCCCGCUGGUGGGAAAGAGGAGUAGAGAUCUUCCCUGAGCUGGAGGGCCAGAUCUGCACCGACGUCACCUCUGAGCAGCUCAACCAGCUGCUGGGCAGCAUCAUGAAGAUCGUCGUCAAUAACCUGGGAAUUGACGAGGCCUCGUGGAUGAAGAGGCUGGCUGUCUUCUCCCAGCCUAUUGUGAGUAGGGCCAAGCCAGAGAUGCUCAAGUCCCAUUUCAUCCCCACCAUGGAGAAGCUGAAGAAGAGGACAGGGAAGGUGGUGGCAGAGGAGGACCACCUGCGUAUGGAGGGGAAGGCCGAGGGGGAUGAGGAGGAGGGCACCAUCAGGGAGGAGUUUGCUGUGCUCUGCAGGGACCUGUACGCCCUCUACCCUCUCCUCAUCCGCUAUGUGGACAAUAACAGGGCAAGGUGGUUGACAUGCCCAGACCCAGAUGCAGAGGAGCUCUUCAGAAUGGUUGGAGAGGUCUUCAUAUUCUGGUCCAAAUCUCAUAACUUCAAACGGGAGGAGCAGAACUUUGUGGUGAUGAAUGAGAUUAAUAACAUGUCUUUCCUCACUGCUGACAGCAAGAGCAAGAUGAGCACGGGCAACGACUCAGAGGCUGGUGGCUCAGACGUGGAGCGUACCAAGAAGAAAAGACGGGGAGAUCGUUACUCAGUGCAGACGUCACUUAUUGUGGCUGCCCUGAAAAAGAUGCUCCCCAUCGGCCUCAACAUGUGUUCCCCUGCUGAUCAGGAGCUUAUCAACCUGGCCAAGAUACGAUACUCUUUGAGGGACACGGAUGAGGAAGUAAGAGAGUUUUUGCAAAACAACCUGCAUCUUCAAGGCAAGGUGGAGAACCCGUCCAUGUGCUGGCAGAUGUCCCUGUAUAAGGAGAUGGCAGGGAAGGCUGAGGAUGCUGACGCUCCAGAGAAAGUGGUGAAGAGGGUGCAGGAGGUCUCAGCUGUUCUCUAUCACAUUGAGGUGACGGAGCACCCCUUCAAAUCCAAAAAGAUUGUGUGGCACAAACUGCUCUCCAAGCAGAGACGCAAGGCUGUGGUAGCCUGCUUUAGGAUGACUCCACUCUACAACCUACCAAGGCAUAGAGCUUCCAAUAUGUUCCUGGAAGGAUACAAACACAACUGGAUCCAUACUGAAGGCUACUCCUUUGAGGACAGAAUGAUAGAUGACUUGUCUAAAGCCAUGGAGCAGGAAGUUGAGGAAGAGGAAGAGACUGAGACCAAGCCAGAUCCCCUUCACCAACUAAUUUUGCAUUUCAGCCGUACCGCUCUCACAGAGAAGAGUAAACUUGAUACAGAUUACCUAUAUAUGGCAUACGCUGAUAUUAUGGCAAAGAGCUGCCACAUUUGUGAGGAGGAUGAAGGGGGAGAGGAGGUGGAGGAAGGGGCUGAGGAUGAGACGUCCUUUGAUGUGCGACAGACAGAACUGGAAAAAGAGAUGGAGAAACAGAGACUUCUGUACCAGCAGUCCCGUCUCCAUAACCGUGGGGCGGCUGAGAUGGUGCUGCAGAUGAUCAGUGCUUGCAAAGGUGAGACUGGCUGCAUGGUGUCCUCCACCCUUAAAUUGGGCAUCUCCAUUCUAAACGGUGGUAACGUUGAGGUUCAACAGAAAAUGCUUGAGUACUUGAAGGACAAGAAGGAUGUUGGCUUCUUUUUGAGUGUCCAGGCUCUAAUGCAGACAUGCAGUGUCCUGGACCUGAAUGCCUUUGAGAGACAGAACAAGGCAGAGGGUCUGGGCAUGUUGUCGGAGGAGGGAACAAACAUGAAGUCAGAACGGGGUGAGAAAGUCAUGUCGGAUGAUGAGUUUACAUGUGAUCUGUUCCGCAUGUUGCAGCUGCUCUGUGAGGGCCACAAUAACGAUUUCCAGAACUACUUGAGGACACAGACAGGCAGCACCACCACUAUCAACAUCAUCAUCUGCACUGUGGAUUACCUCCUCCGACUGCAGGAGUCAAUCAGUGAUUUCUACUGGUAUUACUCUGGGAAAGAGAUCAUCGAUGAGCCAGGCAAGAAGAACUUCUCCAAGGCCAUGACAGUGGCUAAACAGAUCUUUAACAGUCUGACUGAGUACAUCCAGGGUCCGUGUACAGGCAACCAGCAGUCCCUGACCCACAGCAGGCUGUGGGAUGCAGUAGUAGGCUUCCUCCACGUCUUUGCCCACUUGAUGAUGAAGCUGGCACAGGACUCCAGCCAGAUUGGCCUGCUGAAGGAGCUACUGGACCUUCAGAAAGAGAUGGUGGUUAUGCUGCUCUCUCUACUAGAGGGUAAUGUGGUUAACGGCACCAUUGCCCGUCAGAUGGUGGACAUGCUGGUGGAGUCCUCCAGCAACGUGGAGAUGAUCCUCAAGUUCUUUGACAUGUUCCUCAAACUGAAGGACAUUGUGGCGUCAGACGCCUUCCGUGAUUACGUGACCGACCCCCGAGGGUUAAUCUCUAAGAAAGACUUUCAGAAGGCCAUGGACAGCCAGAAACAGUAUUCUCCCUCUGAGAUCCAAUUCCUGUUGUCCUGCUCAGAGGCUGAUGAGAACGACAUGAUAAACUUUGAGGAGUUUGCCGACCGCUUCCAGGAGCCGGCUAAAGACAUUGGCUUUAACAUUGCAGUGUUGCUGACAAACCUGUCUGAACAUGUGCCUCAUGACCUCAGGCUGAAGAACUUCUUAGAGCAGGCAGAGAGUGUACUCAACUACUUCCGCCCCUUCCUGGGCCGUAUAGAGAUCAUGGGUGCCAGCAGGAAGAUAGAGCGUAUCUACUUUGAGAUCAGCGAGGUCCACCGCACACAGUGGGAGAUGCCUCAGGUCAGAGAGUCCAAACGACAGUUCAUCUUUGAUGUGGUUAAUGAGGGGGGCGAGUCGGAGAAGAUGGAGAUGUUUGUCAACUUCUGUGAGGACACUAUCUUUGAGAUGAACAUUGCCUCCCAGAUCUCGGAGCAGGUGGAGGAGAAGGAUGAUGAUGAUGAUCCAGCUGAAGGAGGAACUGAUACAGGAGGAGGAGGAGGUGGAGAUGAAGGCGGCAAUGGAGAGGAAGGAGAGCCAGAGUCCAUCUCUGCCUUUGCAGACUUCAUCAACAGCGUAUUGAACUUCCUGAGUAUCUUCACAUUCCGUAACCUGCGACGGCAAUACCGCAGGGUAAGGAAGAUGACCAUCAAGCAGAUAGUGGUGGGUCUGGCUACCUUCUUCUGGACUAUCCUCAUCGGCAUCCUGCACUUCAUCUACAGUGUAUGUAAGGGCUUCUUCCUGCUCAUCUGGCAAACUCUAUUUGGCGGAGGCCUGGUGGAGGGAGCAAAGAACAUCACAGUGACAGAGAUCCUGGCCAGUAUGCCUGACCCCACCCAGGAUGAGGUGCAUGGGGACCUGGCAGGGGAGCCUGGGGUUGGGAAGGAGCAGGAGGCAGGAGGGGUGACUGACCAAAUAGAUACAGGCGGUGGAGAGGAGGAGGAGGAGGACAAUAAAGACAAGGAAGGUGGGGGGACACCACGCAUCGAUGCUCCUGGUGGACUUGGUGACAUGGGAAUUGAGGCCACUGUUGAGCCUCCUACUCCCGAGGGUACUCCUUUGACCAAGAGAAAACGGCAACCAGAUGAGGGUGAUGCUGCAGCAGCUGAUGGCCAAGCAGCUGAUGGCCAAGCUGCUGAUGGCCAAGCUGCUGAUGGCCAAGCAGCUGAUGGCCUAGCUGCUGAACCGGCUUCUGCUCCUGCCAUAAAGGAGCCCCCUCCAGAGCCUGAGAAGGCAGACACUGAAAAUGGAGAGAAGGCCGAGAAAGAAGCUGAGACCAAAGAGGAGAAGCAGGAGGAAGCGAUAGAAAAGAAACCCAAGUCUAAGAAAGAUAAGAAGCAACACAGGGAGCAAGGGUUCCAACUCUGGACUGAGCUGGACAUCCAAAGAAACAAAUUCUUGAACUACCUCUCUCGGAACUUUUACAAUCUGCGUUUUCUGGCACUGUUCAUUGCAUUUGCCCUGAACUUUAUUCUACUCUUCUACAAGGUGUCGGACACCCCCCGUGGAGAAGGUGAUGAGGUGGAAGGCUCUGGCAUGUUUGAGGGCUCAGGGUUGGGAGUGCUGUUUGAGGGAAUUGGGCUGUUUGAGGGCUCAGCAGAGGAGAUGGAGGGAUCUGGUGGAGAGGAAGGAGGAGAUGAGGAAGAGGAGGGUGGCCCAGUCUACUUCUUCUUGGAGGAGAGCACUGGCUACAUGCAGCCCACCCUCACCUUCCUGGCUACCCUGCACACCGUCAUCGCCUUCCUCUGCAUCAUCGGUUACAACUGUCUAAAGAUCCCUCUUGUGAUCUUUAAAAGAGAAAAGGAGCUGGCCAGGAAACUAGAGUUUGAUGGUCUUUACAUCACAGAGCAGCCUGCGGAUGAUGACAUCAAAGGCCAAUGGGACAGACUGGUCCUCAACACACUCUCUUUCCCAAGCAACUACUGGGACAAGUUUGUUAAGCGAAAGGUCCUGGAUAAGUAUGGAGACAUUUAUGGCAGAGAAAGGAUUGCAGAGCUCCUAGGCAUGGAUCUAGCCUCGUUGGAUGUCAGUCAACAAACUGAUAAGAAGCCGGAGGAACCCGACAAUUCUACGUUGGCCAGGUUUACGUCUAUUGACUUCAAGUACCAGAUCUGGAAAUUUGGAGUUGUGUUCACAGACGGGACUUUUCUCUACCUGUGUUGGUACACGAUCAUGUCCUUGCUUGGACAUUACAACAACUUCUUCUAUGCCUGUCACUUGCUGGACAUAGCCAUCGGUGUGAAGGAUCUGCGUACUAUCCUGUCCUCUGUCACCCACAAUGGGAAACAACUCAUGAUGACAUUGGGCUUGUUGGCAGUGGUGGUGUAUCUCUACACUGUAGUGGCCUUUAUCUUCUUCCGCAAGUUUUACAACAAGAGUGAAGAUGAGGAUGAGCCGGAUAUGAAAUGUGACGACAUGAUGACUUGCUACCUCUUCCAUAUAUAUGUGGGCGUGCGUGCUGGCGGUGGCAUAGGGGACGAGAUCGAGGACCCGGCAGGAGACGUGUACGAGCUCUACCGGGUCAUCUUUGACAUCACCUUCUUCUUCUUUGUCAUUGUCAUCCUGUUGGCCAUCAUCCAGGGUCUGAUCAUUGAUGCCUUCGGAGAGCUCAGAGACCAACAGGAGCAGGUUAAGGAAGACAUGGAGACCAAGUGCUUCAUCUGUGGAAUUGGAAGCGACUACUUUGAUACGACGCCACACGGCUUCGAGACCCACACCCUGGAAGAACACAACUUGGCCAACUACAUGUUCUUCUUAAUGUACCUCAUCAACAAAGAUGAGACGGAGCACACUGGCCAGGAGUCGUAUGUGUGGAAGAUGUACCAGGAGCGAGCGUGGGACUUCUUCCCUGCUGGCGACUGUUUCAGAAAGCAAUAUGAGGAUCAGCUUGCAUAACCAUACUACUACAAUUAGUAGAUUUAAUAACAUACUGUAACGUACUACUACAAUUAGUAGGUUUAAUAACAUACUGUAACUUACUACUACAAUUAGUAGGUUUAAUAACAUACUGUAAUGUACUACUACAAUUAGUAGGUUUAAUAACAUACUGUAACUUACUACUACAAUUAGUAGGUUUAAUAACAUACUGUAAUGUACUACUACAAUUAGUAGGUUUAAUAACAUACUGUAACGUACUACUACAAUUAGUAGGUUUAAUAACAUACUGUAACGUACUACUACAAUUAGUAGGUUUAAUAACAUACUAAACCAGACUGAAAUAGCUGUACUAUACUGUAACCAUACUAAACCAGACUGAAAUAGCUGUACUAUACUGUAACCAUACUAAACCAGACUGAAAUAGCUGUACUAUACUGUACAGACCAGGGGGAAGGCACAUUUAUAGUGCUAGACCAAAAGAAGGCUUUUGUCCCUCUUGUUCGAAUAGGCCAAACACAUGCAAACUAAAUGACUGCAUUUAGAAGAUGUGUUUGUUACCAUGUCAAUUCUUGAACUGGGUGAAUGAAUGUGGGAAAUACUGAAGUACAUAUGUAGUCCAUAUUUCAAUCAAUGUCAUCUCUCACACACGGUGCACAUUGUUUGUCUGUGUGUGACAAUACAAAUGUACAUUUCUGUCAAAUUUCAGUGUCUAAAUCGUUUGAACAAACUUUAUUAGUUGCAUUGGUGUACUACUUUCUACUACAAGCCCAACUAGACUAUAGUGGCUGGUACUUCUAAUUUACAUAAUUAUUAAGUAAGUAUUUAAGUAACAAGGACUAAAUACAAGUACAACAUUUGUGACAGUUGCUUAUUUUCUCUCUCUCUCUCUGAGUGGUCGUUUGGAGUGACUACGUGGGAGAUUUUUCCUUUAAAACAAUGCACUCUGAGACUAAUGACACAACAAUCUCUUUGAUAAUAUUUGACUAUUCCGUUUGAAUUUCCAUCCCAUUGGAACAGCUCUAAAACCAUUCACAGUACGUUGAAUGUCCAUCCCAUUGGAACAGCUCUAAAACCACUCAUACAGUACGUUGAAUGUCCAUCCCAUUGAAACAGCUCUAAAACCACUCACAUCACAGUACUUUGAAUGUCCAUCCCAUUGGAACAGCUCUAAAACCACUCACAGUACGUUGAAUGUCCAUCCCAUU